CUGAGCCGCUUCUCCCCGAGCUGAGACGGCGGCUGAGGCGGCGUUUUCCGUGCCUGUUGCGGUCUAGGUGGCGUUCCUGUCCGGCACCGAGCGGCUGUGCAGCCCCGGCGCCCGCGGGCAAUGGUGCGGCGGAGCGCGCGGACGCGGGCGGGCCUGCGGCGGGCAUGAAGGAGGAUGGAAGGGCAGGACGAGGUGUCGGCGCGGGAGCAGCACUUCCACAGCCAAGUGCGAGAGUCCACGAUAUGUUUUCUUCUUUUUGCCAUUCUCUACAUCGUUUCCUACUUCAUCAUUACAAGAUACAAGAGAAAAUCAGAUGAACAAGAAGAUGAGGAUGCUGUAGUCAACAGAAUAUCGUUGUUUCUGAGCACCUUCACUCUAGCGGUUUCAGCUGGAGCUGUUUUGCUUUUACCCUUCUCAAUCAUCAGCAAUGAAAUCCUGCUUGCUUUUCCUCAAAACUACUAUAUUCAGUGGCUAAAUGGCUCCUUGAUCCAUGGCUUGUGGAAUCUUGCUUCUUUGUUUUCCAACCUUUGUUUAUUUGUGUUGAUGCCCUUUGCAUUUUUCUUUCUGGAAUCAGAAGGUUUUGCGGGCCUGAAAAAGGGAAUCCGAGCCCGAGUUUUGGAAACUCUGGUCAUGCUGCUGCUUCUUGCAUUGCUGAUUCUUGGGAUGGUGUGGGUGGCUUCUGCCCUGAUUGACAGUGAUGCUGCCAGCAUGGAGUCUUUAUAUGAUCUCUGGGAGUUCUACUUGCCCUAUUUAUAUUCCUGCAUUUCACUGAUGGGAUGCCUGCUACUUCUCUUGUGCACCCCAGUUGGCCUUUCCCGUAUGUUCACAGUGAUGGGUCAGUUACUAGUGAAGCCAGCGAUUCUUGAAGACUUGGAUGAACAAAUUUAUAUUAUUACCCUAGAGGAAGAAGCACUCCAGAGAAGACUACAUGGGCUGUCUUCAUCAGUGGAAUACAACAUAAUGGAAUUAGAGCAAGAACUUGAAAAUGUAAAGACCCUUAAGACAAAAUUAGAGAGGAGAAAAAAGGCUUCAGCGUGGGAGAGAAAUUUGGUGUAUCCUGCUGUUAUGGUUCUACUUCUUUUUGAAACAUCCAUUUCGGUCCUCUUGGUGGCGUGUAACAUUCUUUGUCUGCUGGUUGAUGAGACUGCAAUGCCAAAGGGAACAAGGGGGCCUGGGAUAGGAAGCGCCUCUCUCUCCACUUUUGGCUUUGUGGGAGCUGCACUUGAAAUCAUUCUGAUUUUCUAUCUCAUGGUGUCUUCUGUUGUUGGUUUCUAUAGCCUCAGAUUUUUUGGAAACUUUACACCCAAGAAGGAUGACACAACUAUGACAAAGAUCAUUGGGAAUUGUGUGUCAAUCUUAGUCUUGAGCUCUGCUCUGCCUGUGAUGUCAAGAACACUGGGAAUCACUAGAUUCGAUCUACUUGGAGACUUUGGAAGAUUUAAUUGGCUGGGAAAUUUCUAUAUCGUAUUAUCCUACAAUUUACUCUUUGCCAUUGUGACAACAUUGUGUUUGGUCAGAAAAUUCACAUCAGCUGUACGAGAAGAACUUUUCAAGGCCCUAGGACUUCACAAACUUCACUUGUCAGAUACCUCAAGGGAUUCAGAAACUGCAAAGCCUUCUGCAAACGGCCAUCAGAAAGCACUGUGAGACCUGGCUGCUUCAGUAGCAUUCUGCAGCAAGUCCUGACGACUCCUGACAUUCCCACAGACACUGAUCAGCUUCUGUUGGGGUCUGGGCCUGCCUGUCAGUGCCAUCUUCUCAUCAGCACGGAGAACUUGGCAUUGCUGAUCAGUUCCUCAUUUGAAUUUUCUGAUCAACCUCAGAGCUUUUGGUUAAACCCUGAGUCUUAGAGACGGAGGAAAAGUUGUGUGUCUCCAGCAGGGAGCCAUCUGGAUGAGAGGUGAAGAUGUGCAAGGAGGCAGACUUGGACUUUCUUAUGCUUUGCUUUAUGCCAUGAGACAUUUGGGUCUGCAGGCAAAAGCCUGCCUGAAAGUUGCCUGGUACCCCAAAACAUCUUCAGAAAGUCCUGGAAACUUCUGUACUAGUAGCAAACUACAUUUUUUAUUUCCUUAAAAAACCAAAAGCAGAGUUUCUGAUUCAUGUUACAGAAUCUUCAUUAGACUUUGAGCCAAUGGAAAACUACUAGAUUCUUUUCAAACCUGAGCCUUGGUUGGCAGCCCCAGGACUAUCUUUUUGUGGUAAGCUGCAGUAGGAAGCAUAUGUGAUCAUAGAUUUGGACAUUUGUGUGUAUACACCUGAUAAUACUUCUCACAGCACAGUGCCAGUGUUAUACACACUUGUAACUUAGACCUUGCCUUAUAGGCCAUAUGUACAUUCACUUUUUAAAACCUUUUUUCAAAACUGCUUCACUUCCUGUGCUUGUUGUGCCUGUGAAACCCCUAGACGGCAACUGCUUCUUCUUCAUGUCUCUUAGGCUUUGGUGACCUUCAUAUACACCACUUCAAGUGUCCACCUCAGGAAAGUUACCAGUGUGAUACCCAGAACUUAAAGAUCUUGGAAGGGCAGGUGCAGAGUCAUAUGAGCUCAUAGUUAUUCAGUUGUUUAGUUGUAAGUAAUUGUUGGGAUGGCUUCUCAACUCCUGAGUCUACUGAUUAAAAAACAUGAGUGCAUGCUGUUGCUGUCCCUAGGUAGCACACAAUUCACAGAAAUAUGGUGGUGCUCAUAUGCACUGUGUGGAUGACAAAACAUGGUUUGUGUUCAGAAAAGUAAAACAUUUUUUCUCAAAUUAUUGAAUUUAGUUUCUUUUGGAGAAAUUUAUGAAAAACAGACUGUAUCUGACUUUUUUUUUUUUACUUAGAAAAAUAUGAAAAUUUUAGCUGUACUUUUACAAGCCAUUGAGUACACUUCUUUACUUACAUCAUGGCAUUCCCUGAUUCCUCAGGUUAGUUUUAAAGAAAAGGAGCCUUGGUACUGUGGCUCUGAGUGACUCAGUGUACGACUUCAGUGAGUACUGGUAGAUUCCUGAGUGUGAGGUCCUGCACUAACACAAUGCAAGUCAGCUGCUUUCAAAUUCCCAUGAUCAUUAUGCCUAUGUUAGUUAAUGCCAGGCUCUGCUUUUUACUUGAAAUUCAUCCUUUGGGCAGACCAAGUGAAGGAGAGAUCCGAGAGCAGUUUUCCACUGAAAUCCCUUUCAGUGCACACCAUUUGCUGAUACAUCCAAACACAGAGCUCCUGGCUAAUCUGUAAGAGGAACUGAACUUCAUCCAGAGUUCUGCAGAAUGUAAGUGCUCAUUUUUCUGGCAGUGUGUAUAGCCUGUGAAUACCAAUGGCUUCACACUACAGUCCACAUUAAGAAAUAAAUGUCCUCUGUAACUGAGUUUACAUACACACCAAAACACAUAGAAAAAUUUAACAAAACAGUGAUAUUUUUUCUUAUGAUCCAUGCUGGCAUUUUCUAGUGUUUAUUAUAAUUUUUUUAAAAUACCAGACACAAACUAAGAUAUUUCCUAACCUAUUAGUAUGAAAUGGGAGGUAAAUUUCCAUUUGAAAAACAUAACUAGAGUCUUGUUUGAAAUAACUAAUACACUUUUUGUUGUUACUGUUGGCUUGAAUAUUUGGGUAAAUUUGUUGGCACUGAGGUUUUCUGAAUACUGUCUUUUUCCUCUCAAAAGCUGUUGUGAAAAGUUGUGCUGCAAACAUGACACCUUGGCACCAAGGACUUGAGUUCCUACAGCAAUGUGUGUGUGUGUGUGGGGGGGUAUGUUGGGCCAUCUGUGAUUAUAUAGGGACUGAACAGUAUACCCAGAAAUUGAAAGGACAUGGGUCAUUUGUUGAGACCUCUACUUGUGCAGAGUCUGGCCUUUCCUUUCUUACAGCCCUGUAUUGGCUCAGGCUAUAGGGUGGGUCACUUGGUCUUAUAGUUGUUAUUUGUUGUUGUGAACUCACACCAGAGACUGUGAAGUGGCACUGGUGUGCAGGAGCAUGAGGACAGGAAGUGGGUGUUCCUUCCCAACACAUGGGUGUCUCUGAGCCCUGUCAAAUAGGAAAUGCACACCUCUAGUUCAUGGCUUUGGAACACAGCCAAGAAAACUAAAGGUGCUUGGGGUUGCCCCAUUCUUGAGUGAGUGAAGUAGGUCAGUCCGGGACAGCCUGAUUCCAGUGACUCCCAUUGGCUUGUUCAGAGUUCUCAGUCAGCAGACAAAUCUUGGAGGCAUCACUCUUUCUAUGUUUUGAUGGGGCUUGAGAGUGUGAGCAGCCACCCUAGCUUGCCUGCCUGUGCACCUUGUACAUAGUGAACCUCCUUCUCUGAUCUUUACAUGCAGCCAACACUUAAUGCAGAUCAAUAUGCAGAUGUCUAAGAUGAUAUGGAUGUCACUUGUAAGAACUUAGAGCUUGGAAAAAACAAUAAGAGUGCUGCCCUUGUCACACAUUGCCUGAAGCACUUGCUUACUUUUUCUCUCCACUCAAACCUAUAAUUUUAUUUAAGACUCAGGAAGCCUGAAGUAGGUCUUGGAUAUACUGCAGAGGAGGAAACUCAGCAGCUACAGCCUGAAAAGUUGGUACCAGCCUUGGCCCUAGAGUUCCCAGGGCCAGACACUGAGCCUUUGUAAGAACUGAAGGUACUUAAAAAAAAAAAAAAAUCUAUAACCCAUUU